GCAUUUUAUGCUCUGUAAUUGGAAUGAUGGGAAUGUAAAACCCUUCCAGAGUAACAAUUGGAGGGCAAGUCUGGUGCCAGCAGCCGCGGUAAUUCCAGCUCCAAUAGUGUAUAUUAGAGUUGUUGCAGUUAAAAAGCUCGUAGUUGGAUUUCUGCUGUGGUCAUCCGGUACCGCCCGUAUGGGUGCGCACCUGGUUUGGCUGCGGCUUUCUUCCUGUAGCCGUCCGCGCUUAAUUGCGUGUGUUGUGUUACGGAACUUUUACUUUGAGAAAAAUAGAGUGUUUCAAGCAGGCUUGUCGCCCUGAAUACUUCAGCAUGGAAUAAUAGGAUAGGACCUUGGUUCUAUUUUGUUGGUUUCUAGGACCAAGGUAAUGAUUAAUAGGGACAGUUGGGGGCAUUCGUAUUUAACUGUCAGAGGUGAAAUUCUUAGAUUUGUUAAAGACGAACUACUGCGAAAGCAUUUGCCAAGGAUGUUUUCAUUAAUCAAGAACGACAGUAGGGGGUUUGAAGACGAUUAGAUACCGUCGUAAUCUCUACCAUAAACUAUGCCGACUAGAGAUAGGGAAACGCCUACCUUGGCUUCUCCU
rnacentral:rRNA from 1 species